rnacentral:lncRNA from 1 species
AGGAAGGGUUAAUGUGUGCUAAUGGGUACCUGUCUUUUACUUUGCUGCUUUCCUAGGCAGUUGUCAAUAAUGUGUUAGUGGGAGAGUACCUCAGAAUGGCAGAAACAAUAACAGCAAGCAACAUAUGUGAAACAACACUGAGCAGCAAAGUUGAUUGUGAACAACACACUCAUGCUCCUUCACAACCUCCUAGCAAACUUCAGAUAUGAUGAGUAUCCAUGGGAAGAUUUGCCUAGGACGAUACCUCAACCAUCAUUCAAGUUCCAGAUAGCUAAUACAUUUUUGUGUAACAUUGCUGGUAAAUAAAAAUAAUAGUUUGACUCAAUAAUGUUAUAUAUCAAUUUCUGGC